AUUAAGUUAAUUAAUGUUAGCUAAGGCAUAUAGUUUAACCGACAUGGAUUUUUGUUUAAAAUAAGACGUGUUCCCAGUUGUAUUUGAUAUUGUAGAAGCAGAAUAUACCUUUUCGUGGUAAAUUGUAUAGGUUAGCCUUAGUUUGAAUUAAGGUAACGUAACUAUCCACGUAGCUAUUUUUAUAAGUUUACCAGAUGUCCUUUUAUGUUAUGUCCUUAUGUUGUAAUUUAAGUUUUGUAUUGGCAAAUGUAAAAUAAGUCAUGUCUACUAAUAAGCGUUCGGUAUCAUGAAGCAGAUUUUCCAGAAUUGGUUCCAUGACAUCCUUUUAUGUACUUGUGUGUUGAAUAAUAUAAGGUCCUUAAGGUUAAUUUGUCAGUGCAUUUGACGUGUUUUUACAUAUUAAAAAGAUUAUAUUAAUUUAAAUUACUCCUAUUUUUCAUGUUCAUUACUUGCAGUAUAGUUUGAUACAUAACCAUUACAUGAGAUACAUGCUAACUUAUUUUGUGAUUCUCCUCCUUGUUUGUGUGUAUUUUUUAAGUUUAAUUAAUGCUGAUGGAGGUUUUGACUGAAGAUACGCCAUUAACACCACAGCACAAAGUACUUGCAAUAGUUUACACAGAUGGAAAGGAAGCAUGGAGAAAAACUUCUAAAGUAGGAAGUAUCCUGGAAUUGAUUAGCACCACCAAAAGUCAGCUGACUAGUCUUGUAGAGUUAGACAGAAUUUUAAGAUUCGAUGCAGAUUUUGAGGAUUUUAUUGAUGUUGAUCAUACUGAUGGAGUGCGGGAGCUGGACAAGUUCAAGUUAUACUUCAUCCAUGUUAAUAACCAAAAUUUUCAAGAAGCAAGCAGACAAUCAGAGCAGAACGAUUCCUCCAGUGUAGCAGAGAUUGGCGUCACUCAUGGCCUGCUUACACUGCUUGAACAGAAAGCACCCAUCGUCUUAAGAGAGCAUGAAGAGACAAAGACACUUUCGAUUUCAUCAAGAAAACUGCUUGUUAAAAUCUGUGUCAGUAAUUUGGUGGAGAGUCAUGGCUUGUAAGUUUUUGUUUAAUGUGUACAGUUUAUUUCUGUCAGUGAUGAACAUACUACAGGUACCACACAUCUUGUUAGGACAACUGUUCAGAGAAAACUAUGAUUCAUUAAUUACUUAAUUUCAAUUAAUUCUUAUAUAAAGUUAAAUAUUUGUUUCUAUUGGUUGCAAGGGAGAAACAUGAGCAGGUAAAAUUGCACAAUACAAAUGGGACUGUUUGUAUCAUCACUAAAGAUGUGCUUCAACUACAAUAAAUAUAUCACUAAAAAAGUGUUUUUAUGCUGUCACUUUAGUUAUCCAUCUGUGGCCCAAAAGCUAACACUUGCAAAGGAAGUAGUGUCACUGUUUCCUUCACUAAAGAUUCACGUCCCAUUUGGUGAAAACGAAGGACACGAGCAUUUUUUUGAUCAGUCGUCACACAGUGGGUUUAUAGAAAUGAGACUAAGGAACCUCAGACGCAAGCUUCAGCAGAACCAACGCACCUACAAUUUGAAACGCUGUCAUUCUACUGAAAUGCCUUCUGUGGAAAGUGCAAAUGAAGCAGAGCCAAGUGAAUGGCUAACCCUGAUCAAGAGGAUGUGGCCAUCAUCCGAAAAUGCAGCCUCAAUAAAAGCUGCAGUUGACAAAACCUUCAAUUACAGAAGAAAAUGGAUUGCAACAAAAUCACCUUCUGUAUCUGACAUCUUGCGUGAAUUCCCAAGAUUUCUGGACAUGCCAACACUGGUUGAUUCUGAGUUUUCCAAAAUUACUGAUGGGAAAGAAGACUUGUUCAUCAGGCGAUGGGAAGGGACCAUUAUUCCGAAACU